AACGAACGCUGGCGGCAUGCCUAACACAUGCAAGUCGAACGAGACCUUCGGGUCUAGUGGCGCACGGGUGCGUAACGCGUGGGAACCUGCCCUUAGGUUCGGAAUAACUCCCCGAAAGGGGUGCUAAUACCGGAUAAUGUCUUCGGACCAAAGAUUUAUCGCCUUUGGAUGAGCCCGCGUUGGAUUAGCUAGUUGGUAGGGUAAAAGCCUACCAAGGCGACGAUCCAUAGCUGGUCUGAGAGGAUGAUCAGCCACACUGGGACUGAGACACGGCCCAGACUCCUACGGGAGGCAGCAGUGGGGAAUGUUGGACAAUGGGCGAAAGCCUGAUCCAGCAAUGCCGCGUGAGUGAUGAAGGCCUUAGGGUUGUAAAGCUCUUUUACCCGGGAUGAUAAUGACAGUACCGGGAGAAUAAGCUCCGGCUAACUCCGUG
rnacentral:rRNA from 1 species